rnacentral:lncRNA from 1 species
AUUCAAGGCUUACAUCUUUCAUGAAAGAAUUAUUGCUUUUGGAGUUCAUGUAAAGGAUUUGUAAGGAGUUGAAGGCGGUGCUUCCAAAUCAAAGGCAGUAAGUAAGCGGUUUUGUUUGUAGUAAUGGUUGGAGCCAUAACUUGAGUAUUCGGAUGAACUUUUGGAUCAAACUUUUGGAGAAUGUAAAUUUUUGUAUUAAGAAGCUAUACAUACAAAUUUCGUGGCAUUUGAGCUUAUAAUUUGUGAGAUAUGAAGAAAAUUGCACUCGGAUGUAUAAAGACA